CCCUUAGAUGUCCUGGGCUGCACGCGCGCUACACUGAUGUGUCCAGUAAGCACCUAACCUCUUCCGAAAGGAACGGGUAACCUUUGCAAAGCACAUCGUGAUGGGGAUAGAUUAUUGCAAUUAUUAGUCUUGAACGAGGAAUUCCUAGUAAGCACAAGUCAUCAGCCUGUGUUGAUUACGUCCCUGCCCUUUGUACACACCGCCCGUCGCUCCUACCGAUUGAAUGUUCCGGUGAGCUCUUCGGACUGCGCGGUCUGCAGUUUCUGCGUUCCGUGCGGAAAGUUGCGCAAACCUUAACAUUUAGAGGAAGGAGAAGUCGUAACA
rnacentral:rRNA from 1 species